rnacentral:rRNA from 1 species
UACGGGGGGGGCAAGCGUUGUUCGGAAUUACUGGGCGUAAAGGGCGCGUAGGCGGUUCGCUAAGUUGAAUGUGAAAACUCUGGGCUUAACCCAGAGCCUGCAUCCAAAACUGGCGAACUGGAGUACUGGAGGGGAAAGCGGAAUUCCUGGUGUAGCGGUGAAAUGCGUAGAUAUCAGGAGGAACACCGGUGGCGAAGGCGGGUCUCUGGGCAGUAACUGACGCUGAGGAGCGAAAGCGUGGGGAGCGAACAGG